rnacentral:rRNA from 1 species
GACGGAGGAUGCAAGCGUUAUCCGGAAUUAUUGGGCGUAAAGCGUCCGCAGGUGGUUUUACAAGUCUGCUGUCAAAGCCCGGGGCUUAACCCUGGAGAGGCAGUGGAAACUGUAGGACUAGAGAGUGGUAGGGGUAGAGGGAAUUCCCGGUGUAGCGGUGAAAUGCGUAGAUAUCGGGAAGAACACCAGUGGCGAAGGCGCUCUACUGGACCACGACUGACACUGAGGGACGAAAGCUAGGGGAGCGAAAGGG